rnacentral:misc_RNA from 1 species
GAUGAAGAACGUAGCGAAAUGCGAUAAGUAAUGUGAAUUGCAGAAUUCAGUGAAUCAUCGAGUCUUUGAACGCCCAUUGCGACCCCUGGUAUUCCGGGGGGCAUGCCUGUCCGAGCGUCAUUGCUGCCCUCAAGCACGGCUUGUGUGUUGGGCCUCCGUCCUCCUCCCGGGGGACGGGCCCGAAAGGCAGCGGCGGCACCGCGUCCGGUCCUCGAGCGUAUGGGGCUUCGUCACCCGCUCUUGUAGGCCCGGCCGGCGCUUGCCGACACAUCAAUCUUUUUUCCAGGUUGACCUCGGAUCAGGUAGGGAUACCCGCUGAACUUAAGCAUAUCAAUAAGCGGAGGA